AGUGAACGCUGGCGGUAGGCCUAACACAUGCAAGUCGAACGGCAGCACAGUAAGAGCUUGCUCUUACGGGUGGCGAGUGGCGGACGGGUGAGGAAUACAUCGGAAUCUACUUUUUCGUGGGGGAUAACGUAGGGAAACUUACGCUAAUACCGCAUACGACCUACGGGUGAAAGCAGGGGAUCUUCGGACCUUGCGCGAUUGAAUGAGCCGAUGUCGGAGUAGCUAGUUGGCGGGGUACAGGCCCACCAAGGCGACGAUCCGUAGCUGGUCUGAGAGGAUGAUAAGCCACACUGGAACUGAGACACGGUCCAGACUCCUACGGGAGGCAGCAGUGGGGAAUAUUGGACAAUGGGCGCAAGCCUGAUCCAGCCAUACCGCGUGGGUGAAGAAGGCCUUCGGGUUGUAAAGCCCUUUUGUUGGGAAAGAAAAGCAGCAGGUUAAUACCCCGCUGUUCUGACGGUACCCAAAGAAUAAGCACCGGCUAACUUCGUG
rnacentral:rRNA from 1 species